GCACAGAAAAUAUGUCCGGGGAUAGGGACAGUGUGGGAAUGCGGCUGAGGUUGGUUGGACAAUGGGAUUGAGAGGCCCUCUUCAGACCAGACUCCAUUUAGGACCUGCUCUUCCUGUAUACACUUCGAGAAGGGUUGCCAAGGAAACCUGAAACAAAGAUGACUUCAUGCACUCAAAGCAGGAAAAUGCAUCCAGAACCUCAAAUCUUUAUACAUUACUGAGGAUUGACAGUCUCCUUCCUUGUUCUAACUGGAGUUUCAAGAACAGCUUUAAAGUAUUAUUUUGGAGAAACCAAACGACCUCCCGGGAAGAGUGCAAUAUUGUGAGAAGCAGAGGGACUCGAUACCAGCCACCUGAGUCAGAAAGAGGCAGCCC